rnacentral:rRNA from 1 species
GACGAACGCUGGCGGCGUGCUUAACACAUGCAAGUCGAACGGAAAGGCCUGCUUUCCCUUGUGGAUUGCGGGUACUCGAGUGGCGAACGGGUGAGUAACACGUGAGUGAUCUGCCCCCAACUUGGGUAUAAGCCUGGGAAACUGGGUCUAAUUCCCGAUAGGACUGCAGGGUGGUGCCUGUGGUGGAAAACGAUUUUCUAGUGGUUGGGGAUGAGCUCGCGGCCUAUCAGCUUGUUGGUGGGGUAAUGGCCUACCAAGGCGGCGACGGGUGGCCGGCGUGAGAGGGUGGACGGCCACAUUGAGACUGAGAUACGGCCCAGACUCCUACGGGAGGCAGCAGUGGGGAAUAUAGCACAAUGGGCGGAAGCCUGAUGCAGCGACGCCGCGUGGGGGAUGACGGCCUUCGGGUUGUAAACUCCUUUCGACCGCGAGGAAGCCACCUGGUUGGAAGGGUGGUGACGGUAGUGGUAGAAGAAGCACCGGCUAACUACGUG